UACGAAGGGGGCUAGCGUUGCUCGGAAUCACUGGGCGUAAAGCGCACGUAGGCGGACUCUUAAGUCGGUGGUGAAAUCCUGGAGCUCAACUCCAGAACUGCCUUCGAUACUGAGAGUCUUGAGUCCGGGAGAGGUGAGUGGAACUGCGAGUGUAGAGGUGAAAUGCGCAGAUAUCAGGAAGAACACCCGUGGCGAAAGCGGCUCUCUGGAACGGUACUGACGCUGAGACGCGAAAGCGUGGGGAGCGAACAGG
rnacentral:rRNA from 1 species